rnacentral:tRNA from 1 species
CCCAUCGAUGGCUCAGUUGGUAGAGCGGAGGACUGUAGAUCCUUUGGUCGCUGAUUCAAGUCCAGCUUGAAGGAA